UAGGGAAUCUUCCGCAAUGGACGAAAGUCUGACGGAGCAACGCCGCGUGAGUGAAGAAGGAUUUCGGUUCGUAAAACUCUGUUGUUAGGGAAGAAAAAAUUUAUAGUAACUAUAUACAAAAGAGACGGUACCUAACCAGAAAGCCACGGCUAACUACGUGCCAGCAGCCGCGGUAAUACGUAGGUGGCAAGCGUUGUCCGGAAUUAUUGGGCGUAAAGCGCGCGCAGGUGGUUUAGAAAGUCUGAUGUGAAAGCCCACGGCUCAACCGUGGAGGGUCAUUGGAAACUAAUAAACUUGAGUGCAGGAGAGAAAAGUGGAAUUCCUAGUGUAGCGGUGAAAUGCGUAGAGAUUAGGAGGAACACCGGUGGCGAAAGCGGCUUUUUGGCCUGCAACUGACACUGAGGCGCGAAAGCGUGGGGAGCAAACAGG
rnacentral:rRNA from 1 species